GAUGAACGCUAGCUACAGGCUUAACACAUGCAAGUCGAGGGGAAACGACAUCGAAAGCUUGCUUUUGAUGGGCGUCGACCGGCGCACGGGUGAGUAACGCGUAUCCAACCUGCCCACCACUUGGGGAUAACCUUGCGAAAGUAAGACUAAUACCAAUGAUAUCUCUAGAAGACAUCUGAAGGAGAUUAAAGAUUUAUCGGUGAUGGAUGGGGAUGCGUCUGAUUAGCUUGUUGGCGGGGUAACGGCCCACCAAGGCGACGAUCAGUAGGGGUUCUGAGAGGAAGGUCCCCCACAUUGGAACUGAGACACGGUCCAAACUCCUACGGGAGGCAGCAGUGAGGAAUAUUGGUCAAUGGGCGAGAGCUUGAACCAGCCAAGUAGCGUGCAGGAUGACGGCCCUAUGGGUUGUAAACUGCUUUUAUAAGGGAAUAAAGUGAGCCUCGUGAGGCUUUUUGCAUGUACCUUAUGAAUAAGGACCGGCUAAUUCCGUGCCAGCAGCCGCCGUAA
rnacentral:rRNA from 1 species